UGCGUAGGCGGGAGAUUAAGUCAGUGGUGAAAUCCUACAGCUUAACUGUAGAACUGCCAUUGAUACUGGUUUUCUUGAGUAUAGUUGAAGUGGGCGGAAUGUGUAUUGUAGCGGUGAAAUGCUUAGAUAUUACACAGAACACCUAUUGCGAAGGCAGCUCACUAAACUAAUACUGACGCUGAGGCACGAAAGCGUGGGGAGCAAACAGGAUUAGAUACCCUGGUAGUCC
rnacentral:rRNA from 1 species